rnacentral:lncRNA from 1 species
GACGGAGCAGGAAGGCUGGAGAUUUCAUCAAGCUACUCACAGCAGCAUGCCAUUUAAAAUUCAUGAAUUAUUUAUUUCUGGAAUUUUCCGUUUAAUAUUUUUGGACCACAAUUGACCUCAGAUUUUACUUUCUACUCUUGUCAGUCAUAUCUGCAAGGCUGACAGUUACCAGGGGCUGUGGCCAGGCAUGAGGGAGAAUGUGUCAUUGCUGGCUGCGUUGGUCAUAGCAACGUGUCUGCCUCAGAACAGAUCCAGCAUGGAUGAGCAAACAGAAAAAUGUGUAAGAAGGCUUGUGACUGAAACAGACCAAGGGUGAGU